GAGUAAUGCGUGACCAACCUGCCCCAUGCUCCAGAAUAGCUCUUGGAAACGGGUGGUAAUGCUGGAUGCUCCAACUUGACGCAUGUCUUGUUGGGAAAGUGUUUAGUGGCAUGGGAUGGGGUCGCGUCCUAUCAGCUUGUAGGCGGGGUAAUGGCCCACCUAGGCUUCGACGGGUAGCCGGCCUGAGAGGGCGGACGGCCACAUUGGGACUGAGAUACGGCCCAGACUCCUACGGGAGGCAGCAGUG
rnacentral:rRNA from 1 species